UUAAACUAGAGACAGUGUUUUUCCUUUGGU
rnacentral:piRNA from 1 species